rnacentral:lncRNA from 1 species
GCAAGCAGGCGCCCACCCAUCCUGAGCUCCAUCCGCAAGAUAUCCGUGACCGCACAAAAUCAUCAUCACCCAUCCCGCCCGCGCCGCCCAAAAUCAUCAUUAUCCAUCCCGCCCGCGCCGCCCGACCGCCUGACUCUUCUCCAGCUGCCGCCACCCUGGUUCAUCCCCGCUGACGCCGCCACCGCCAAAAAUUGCGCCCGCCGCCCUGAUUCGUUCGCCGGAUCCGGGAUGCCCAAAAUCAUCGUCAUCCAUCCCGCCCGCGCC